CAACAGUUUUGGUCCUGGGCUAACCGUUGUUUUUUAUUAAGUUUAUACAUGCAAGUUUCAACAAACCAGUGAAAAUGCCCACAACCCCCAAAAAGAAGCCUGGAGCAGACAUCAGGCACCACAGCUUGAGCCCACGACGUCUUGCUACGCCACACCCCCACGGGUGAUCAGCAGUAAUAAAUAUUGAACCAUAAGUGAAAGCUUGAUUCAACUAUAAUACUAACUAAGGGCUGGUUAAUCUCGUGCCAGCCACCGCGGUUAUACGAAAAGCCCAAAACAACGACCAACGGCGUAAAAUGUGACUAGAGAUUUUUCUAAUUAAAAAUACCAAAACUUACCACCCAGUUGUAAAAUACUCAAGGAGAUAAGGAAAACCAACACAGGUAUUUUUAAUAAGCACCCUUGAAUUCACUAAAGCUUAGAAACAAACUAGGAUUAGAUACCCUACUAUGCUAAGCACUAAACACUGAGUGAACACUAUACAACACCCUCCGCCAGAGGAUUACAAAUGAAAAAUUUAAAACUCAAAGGACUUGACGGUGUCCCACAUCAACCUAGAGGAGCCUGUCCUAUAAUCGAUAACCCUCGCUUCACCCGACCUUAACUAGCCCACUCCAGCCUAUAUACCGCCGUCGACAGCUUACCCCAUGAGGGAUGAAUAGUAAGCAUAACAGGCCCCCCCCCUAGCACGUCAGGUCAAGGUGUAGCAAAUGUUAAGGAAGAGAUUGGCUACAUUUUUUAUAUUAAAAUACGAAAAGUACCAUGAAAUAGUACAUGAAGGUGGAUUUAGAAGUAAAAUAAAUUAGAGUAUUUAUUUUAAUACUGCUCUGGGACGCGUACACACCGCCCGUCACCCUCCUCAAUAAAAAAAUUUUAUAUACAUAAAACACCCACCUAAGAUAGAGGAGGUAAGUCGUAACAUGGUAAGCGUACCGGAAGGUGUGCUUGGAUUAA
rnacentral:ncRNA from 1 species